ensembl:lncRNA
AGUAAAUAGAAUAAACUGUAUAAAACAUUUAGCUUUGUGUGGAUAUUUUGAUGUGAGUCACGUUUUUAGUGUGUCGUGAGGUAGAUUAUUAUUAUUAUUAUAAAUAAAUAAAUGCACUGGAUACUCAAAUUGGCCAUUAAAUGGCAAUACACUAGAGAAAUUGGCAUAUUCAUUAUAUUGCAGGCUAUUGUAUUUUGACGUUGUAGGAGGGUCAUUUGGCUUAAAAUGGGCAGUAUGAUGGGCAGUACUAUGAAAUGAGAACAAUGUGAUAGGUGCUGUGAUUGUUCUCUGACGCGUUAUUGGCUAUUGAUUUAAAUGUGGGCGUGGUCGCCGUUAUGGUAUGUCCAGACAUAACAGAGGGGGAGGUAAUAAUUCGUGUUUGAGGAAGAUGGCGUCUGCAAAGAAGGCUGGGAGCGGUGUUCUUGAAAGAGCAGUAAACAGAAGACGUUCGUCAAAACACAAAGAAGGUCCAAUAGAUUUGUCACAAAUCACGAAACACCAACGUACUAUGACAUCUGCCAUGAUGGCUUCUGUGUAUGACGGAUAACUGAAGUGAGAGAAAAGUGUUUAUUACGUUUGAAAUAUAGAUAUUUUUCUUAAAAAAUUUUUUUUUAAUAUAACUUUGACUGGAUUCAUCUGAAAGGAAGCUAAUUUAAUUUUUUGGCUGAACUAACCCUUUAACUGAGGUCUUGGAUGUGCAGAAGAACAGAAAGGAAAGAUCUUUAGUCCUGCAAGAAUGUGCAGGACUACAGAUCUUUUCUGCAUAUACUCUUGCAUAUGAAUAUUGACCAUAACACAUUUUGUAUGUGUAGGUAAGUUGAUUACUUGCUGCGGUCAGGUUUGGAUGAGACUGAGAGGAAACUCUUAACUGAUGUCUGUGCCAGUGCAUUGUUUUUCUUUUACUGUUGAGAUGAUUUUACCACAUUUACAAAAUAAUCUGGGACAAAGGUCUGCUCACGGCCUUCCGUUGUCUCUUUAUUGCCAGCCGAAUCAAUAAAGGAUGUGGUCCUGGAUGUAUGUAUGUAGAA